rnacentral:lncRNA from 1 species
UCCGGAAUUCAAUUCUGUUGUAGAAGUUCGGACGGGGUCCGGCUCUUGUAGGAGUCUGGACGAAGUCCGCUUAUUGAAGAAGCUCGGCUGAAGUCCGCCGCUUGUAGCAGAAGUUCGGAGUAGACCGCUUGCAGUAGAAGUUUGGAGUGGAGAUCCGGCUGGUGGAGCCUGUCCCGUUGUAGAAGUUCGUCUGUGAUCCAUCCACUGUAGGAAUUCGGCUGGGAUCUGGCUCUUGUAAGAGCUCGGAUGAAAUCCGGAGGGCAGUCGACCGCCUUAGAAAUUUGGAUGGAGUCUGGUUACGGUAGAGUCCUGCUGUUGGAGAAGCUCGGAUAUUGACGAAGUCCGGAAAGAGUUCGGAGUAAAGUCGUUCGUGGUCGGAAGAAGUCUGAAAGGGAUUCGAAGAAUAGUCGACCACUGUAGAAAACCGACUGAUAGUGAAGUCCAGAGAGCAUUUGGAGCAGUUCGGUAGAUGAAUGGGAGAGCUUAUAAUCGGAGAAGUCCGAAUGGUAUUAUGGAAGUUCGGACGGUCGAGGAGGUUCAGAGAGACGCCACCCAAGGUCAGAAGUCGGAGGAGCCCUGGAAAGGUCGGUCUUUUACAAACUUCGACUGGAGGUAUUUUAUACCCAACAAGAUUGGUGUAAAGAAUAU